rnacentral:rRNA from 1 species
CCUACGGGAGGCAGCAGUGGGGAAUAUUGCACAAUGGGGGCAACCCUGAUGCAGCGACGCCGCGUGAGUGAAGAAGUCUUUCGGUAUGUAAACCUCUUUCAGCAGGGACGAAGAUGACGGUACCUGACUAAGAAGAACCGGCUAACUACGUGCCAGCAGCCGCGGUAAUACGUAGGGGGCAGGCGUUAUCCGGAUUUACUGGGUGUAAAGGGAGCGUAGACGGUGAUGCAAGUAGGAAGUGAAAGCCCAGGGCUCAACCAUGGGACUGCUUUGGAAACUGUAAAACUUGAGUGCAGGAGAGGUAAGCGGAAGUCCGUGUGUAGCGGUGAAAUGCGUAGAUAUUAGGAGGAACACCAGUGGCGAAGGCGGCUUACUGGACUGUAACUGACGUUGAGGCGCGAAGGCGUGGGGAGCAAACAGGAUUAGAUACCCGAGUAGUC